rnacentral:lncRNA from 1 species
CUCUUUAGAAAGAGUUUCAGGCUGGUUUUUGGAAAAAUGAGAGAGAAGUUGUAGUUUUUCUAGGUGGCUCCCAUUUUGGCUGUAGUGUUUCCAAGCGCGUGGAGGAAAGCGCAUUCUUUGUUAUUUAUCUCCGGUAAAGACAAUAACGAUUCUCCGUCUUAAAUUUUAUUGUUUAUUUGCGUAUUAUGGUACCUAAGGUUUGAUUAUAAACGUUGAUUGACUUGUUUGGAUAGGUUUAUUGGUAACAUUUAGGAUUCAUUUUGUAUGCAUUUUGAAGGAGGGAAAACGUUGGAUUAUUGACUGAAGCGCACCAGCUAAACUGAGUUUUUAUGGAUAUAAGGAAGGACUUUAUUGAACAAAAGGACCAUUUGGGACCAAAAGGACCAUUUGUAAUGAGACCUUUUGGAGUGCCAACAGAAGAAGAUCUUCAAAGAUCAAGGUGGGGACGGUUGCACCCCCUGUUUCUGAGACACUUCCAACCACCAACAUGCCCCCUCCUGAGUAUGAGGAGGAGGUUACCUCCUCCUCACACUGACUUCAUCAAGCUCGGACCUGAGCCCUAGGACCAUGCCUCAGGACUACCUGGCUUGAUGACUCCUUGCUGUCCCCAGUUCACCUGGCCGUGCUGCUGCUCCAGUUCCAACUGUUCUGCCUGCAGCUAUGGAACCCUGACCUGUUCACCGGACGUGCUACCUGUCCCAGACCUGUUGUCCCAGACCUGCUGGAACCCUGACCUAUUCACCGGACGUGCUACCUGUCCCAGACCUGCUGUUUUCAACUCUCUAGAGACAGCAGGAGCGGUGGAGAUACUCUCAAAGAUCGCCUAUGAAAAAGCCAACUGACACUUACUCUUGUGUUACUGACUUGUUGCACCCUCGACAACUACUAUGAUUAUUAUUAUUUGACAAUGCUGGUCAUUUAUGAACAUUUGAACAUCUAGGCCAUGUGCUGUUAUAAUCUCCACCCGGCACAGCCAGAAGAGGACUGGCCACCCCUCAUAGCCUGGUUCCUCUCUAGGUUUCUUCCUAGGUUUUGGCCUUUCUAGGGAGU